UACGUAGGGUGCGAGCGUUAAUCGGAAUUACUGGGCGUAAAGUGUGCGCAGGCGGCCGCGCAAGUCGAGUGUGAAAGCCCCCGAGCUUAACUUGGGAAUUGCGCUCGAAACUACGUGGCUGGAGUGUGGCAGAGGAAGGUGGAAUUCCAGGUGUAGCGGUGAAAUGCGUAGAGAUCUGGAGGAACACCGAUGGCGAAGGCAGCCUUCUGGGCCAACACUGACGCUCAUGCACGAAAGCGUGGGGAGCAAACAGG
rnacentral:rRNA from 1 species